AUCACCUGGGGACCUUGUUAAAAGGCAGACUCUGAGUAUGUCUGGAAUGGAGCCCAAGAGUCUACAUUUCUAACAAGUUCCCAGGUGAUGC
rnacentral:pre_miRNA from 1 species